AAAAUAUCAAAUAUAUAAAAAAUAGUAUAAUAAAAAUUUAAAAAAUACUAAGUACAAAUCUAACAAAGACUAAGUCCCACAAGGACGUCGCGGUGCCCGUGGUCGUUUGGACCUUCUCAGGAAGGUCCUCGCCGGCUGCUCCUGCUCCUGCUGUGAUGGCUCCUCCCCUAUAUCAGUGGAGGAGAUCUGCUGAUCAUGCUGCUCAGGAAUAACUGAUGCUGUCGGAUCAUCUACG
rnacentral:lncRNA from 1 species